rnacentral:misc_RNA from 1 species
AUUUCUAACUUCGUUUGACUGAACAGAGUUUAAAGCCCAAAUUCAUUUUUGAGAUUCAUGAUUAUCUGUUGCAGUUACGAUAACGGAGUGUAAAUUGUUGAACCUCCGACGAGUAAUUUCGUGAAAUCGGAGACAAUGAAGGAGGAGGAAGAGGAGAAACGGAAUUGCAGCACACAUAAACGGAUAGGGGAGGUAGCUGGGGGCACAGCGGCGGAGUGUGCGAUGGUAUGCUGUUGUUGUCCAUGUACGGUGAUGCAUUUAUUGGUACUAGCGUUGUACAAAGUCCCGACGGGAUUAUGCCGGAAAAUAUGGAGGAAGAAGAAACGGGAGAGGCUUUUGAGGAAGAAGAAGAAAGAGGAGGAUUCAUGGAAGUCGAUGAAGAAUAAUAAGAAUGUUUACCUAGGUGCCUACGAUGAAGACGACGGCGAUCGGGAGAAAUUUGACGGUGAAAACGACGACGGAGUACGGGAAGCCGCCGAUUUUGAAACGGAAAUGUGGGACCGGUUCUAUGGAGCUGGAUUUUGGAGGACUCUAUCACAGAGAGAGGAGGACUUAGCAUGGCAUAAUCAAAAUAAGUAAGGACUUAAAAUGCAAUUAUAAUUAUAAUUAAGAAGAAAAAAAAGGUGAAAGAGACAGAAAUUGAAGAUUAAUGGAUUUGUACAUUGUGUAUUUUGCCCAAAAAACGUUGGGUGGAGUAAUAAUUCAUUGAACACGGUUUUUAGGUGGACACACCGUUGAUUUUUUCUUUCUUAAUAUAAAAAAAAUCCCUUAGAGAAGUAAUGAGACUUGGGUCCAUGUGAACUUCACAAUGUUACAUUUGUACAUUAUUUUAUUUCUUUAUUUGCUUGUUGCUGUAUUUUCCAAAUAAGAUGAAUGUGACA